rnacentral:rRNA from 1 species
UGUCAGCAGCCGCGGUAAUACCGGCAGCCCGAGUGAUGGCCGAUCUUAUUGGGCCUAAAGCGUCCGUAGCUGGCCGCACAAGUCCAUCGGAAAAUCCACCCGCCCAACGGGUGGGCGUCCGGUGGAAACUGUGUGGCUUGGGACCGGAAGGCGCGACGGGUACGUCCGGGGUAGGAGUGAAAUCCUGUAAUCCUGGACGGACCGCCGAUGGCGAAAGCACGUCGCGAGGACGGAUCCGACAGUGAGGGACGAAAGCCAGGGUCUCGAACCG